UUGGAGGGCAAGUCUGGUGCCCGCAGCCGCGGUAAUUCCAGCUCCAAUAGCGUAUAUUAAAGUUGUUGCAGUUAAAAAGCUCGUAGUUGAAUUUCGGGAUCAAAUUGUCGGUCGUGCCUCGGUACGCACUGGUAUUAUUGGUUCCUACCUUCUGAAGAACCGCGAUGUCAUUAAUUUGGUGUCGUGGGGAAUCAGGACUGUUACUUUGAAAAAAUUAGAGUGUUUAAAGCAGGCUUACGCUUGAAUACAUUAGCAUGGAAUAAUGAAAUAGGACGUUUGAUUCUAUUUUGUUGGUUUCUAGGAUUGACGUAAUGAUUAAUAGGGAUAGUUGGGGGCAUUAGUAUUCAAUUGUCAGAGGUGAAAUUCUUGGAUUUAUUGAAGACUAACUACUGCGAAAGCAUUUGCCAAGGAUGUUUUCAUUAAUCAAGAACGAAAGUUAGGGGAUCGAAGACGAUCAGAUACCGUCGUAGUCUUAACCAUAAACUAUGCCGACUAGGGAUCGGAUGAUGUUAAUUUUUUAAUGACUCAUUCGGCGCCUUACGGGAAACCAAAGUGUUUGGGUUC
rnacentral:rRNA from 1 species